rnacentral:rRNA from 1 species
AACGAACGCUGGCGGCGUGGUUGAUACAUGCAAGUCGAGCGGGAACGGUUCCUUCGGGGACUUAGUACAGCGGCGGACGGGUGAGUAAUACUUGAUCAAUCUACCCAUAAGACUGGGAUAGCCUUUCGAAAGGAAGGGUAAUACCGGAUAAGACCACGGCAUCGCAUGAUGCUGGGGUAAAAAGGUUGGGAUCUUCGGACCUUCUGCUUAUGGAUGAGAUCAAGCCCUAUUAGCUUGUUGGUGGGGUAACGGCCUACCAAGGCAACGAUGGGUAGCGGGCCUGAGAGGGUGAACCGCCACACUGGAACUGAGACACGGUCCAG